rnacentral:lncRNA from 1 species
GUCUUACGUGAGUGAGAUAAUAUAUAGAAUAUAUGUAUUAUUACAUCUAAAUAAAUAAAUAAAUAAAUACACAAAAAUAUUGGCUAAAAAGUUAUGUAUUACCGUAGAAAAUAAUUAUAACAAAAAAGAUGGACGAAUUAUUGUUGUUGAGAAUUAAGGAAUUUUGCUAAGGAGAGCAGCAGAGCUGGAUUGAAAAGACAGGAGGAGGCCGGGGCCAAAGUUGGGGGUGAAGGCAAUCGCUCCCACGUUGCAAUUUGCAAAUCAUCAAACACCUUUUUUUUCCCCGAUUUGAUUUGAUUUGAUUUGAUUUUGAUUUGACAAAACCACACGACCCUCGCUCACCUUCACCUGGGGGGUUGCCGACUGAGGCCUUGACCGAUAGAUAACCCACACUCACAAUAAUAUUUUGAAACUUUUGCCCACCAGCACCAUUCUUCUCACUCGUCACCGAGCCAGCAAAAUUUGACACGAUCCAUUUCAG